rnacentral:tRNA from 1 species
GCAGUGAUGGUUCAGUGGUAGAAUUCUCGCCUUCCAUACUGGAGACUUGGAUUCAAUUCCCGGCCAAUGCA